rnacentral:lncRNA from 1 species
CUUGGUUUGAUUUAGCUGGGCUGUUCUUACCUUCUUAGCAUAACUAGGAAAUGUUAUGUUACAGAAAAUCUCAGCCAGCAUGGCUAAAAAAGCUCUAGUUCUUAAGAUAACAUUUCCUGUGAUGGAUUCCCAAAGGCUCAGGCCAAAAUAAAUGCAGUGGUCUUUAAGGUACUACAAAACUUUUCAUUGUUCCCGUUGCAGCAGUUUUAACUGAGUGGCUUCUCUGGAAAUGGUCCUAUUCUAAAUGAGGCUGUAGGUUCAUCUUUCUAACUAGUUGCACAUCUGACUGGCAGUGGCUUUACAGAGCUUCAGGAAGAGUCUGUUGUUUUUGUUGUUCCUGGAUGCUUUUAACUGGAGAUGGCUCCUCUGGUGGUGCCAUGGAAAAAUGGAAAGGGUUGCAGUCAUACGGCAAGAGCAAUCCCUGAAGGAAUGGCGGAUCCAGAUGUUCCAAAGGAAGUGCCUCCCAGCGAGUUGCCCCAGAAUCCUCCACCACCACCACCGGGAAUCAAGGAAGAUGCCUGUCCAUGCCACACGGACCAUGUGAUGAAACACAGUGGCAAACUGCUGAAAAGAUACACUACUACGGAGUAUAUACAACAGUGGUAACAGCUGAGACACUGACAGCAGCAAGAAAAGAUUGUGUCCUGUAUCUCUGAGCCAGGUCAAAAUUGUGUUGGUGAUUGCAAAGCACUCAGCCAGAGUGAACAAUGAAAUAAUGCUGCCUCUGUGCAUGGGAAAUCCCAGCUCUAAAAUAAAAGUUCUCCAGAACUGCA